UAUGAAUAAAUAUUAAUAUAGAUAUCAUAGUGAAAGGUUACAACAAUAAUGUAUUGCAUGGAAAAAUGAAUUAUCAUAAAAACAAAAAAACAAGCUAAUCGUCAUUAACAAUGUUAUCACCACCAUCGGUAUCUCUAGCAUCAUCCUGAUGAGCAGCAUGCAAAGCUUGGGCUGUAGAAUAUGUCCAGCGUCUGCUUACAUUGUUGGUCUUUCUCAUCCAUUGUAGCCAAACUAUUCUUUAGAGUCGCAAUAGUCGAGUGCAAUUGUCGAAUCUCUUCCUCCACUACCUUUGACUAAGCUCAUUGGGUUGCAGUACUAAAUGAUGCAUGUGAUGAGCCAGGAUAGAAAUCUGAUGCAUGGAGUUCCUAACAAAAUCAUCAUAAGAACUCUCAAUUGAUCUCUUAACGUCCAAAUAAAAUACCACUUAUGUAUAGAGCAAAUAACCAUAUGAUACUUGAAUACUGCUACUCCACUUGUAAUAAGCCAAAUGACAAAACUAAAUAAAUAGAACAGCCAAAAAAGGUAUAUAAUAUGAAUAUAAUAAUAUUAAAACAAUAUAGCAACAAGUUUUGCCCACAAAUGAAAUCAUUUGUGUGAAAAAUUAUAUAUAUAUAU
rnacentral:misc_RNA from 1 species